GCUCUUGGCAGUUGAGAUUCAGACCUUGACAGUUGUAACCGAUAGACUGGGCUGGGGCAACGCUGAUGAAAGGCAAAUUCCUGAGAGAAAAAUCACCCAGAUUUUUCAGUGCCUUCUCUAGCUUUCUAGAAGUUGUUAUGAGUGGACCUGACUACCUAGAGAGAGUAAUACAGAAGCUCCGUGCCGAUCACAGCUACCUCAUUACCAUGUUCCUCCAAGAUGGCCGCCCCUGAGGAGAAUCAUCAACUGGGCUUUACGGAAGAGAGAAAUCCAAACGACCAUCAGCAACAAAUGAAAGACUGAAGUUGAAAGGAAAUCCAUAAUUUUUGAAUGCUGGCCGAGGUCUGUGACCUCUGACUGAAUGGUUUCCAAGCUCCGAAUUCCUAGGUGAUGUUUUCAUUUGUUCACACUUGCUGAAGAAGGGAAAGGCUCUCUGAUUUACGUGUAAGCAAAACAAUCUAAACAGUAGGAUAAAAUCAUGUUGGAAUGGAGUUCUGUGUGGAUGCUCCUUUGAACCAAAUCAGUUCCACAACUGACCCUGUCAGGGACAUAUAAAUUUAGCAUUUUGGUGUGGAUACAGAAGACGAGAUUAACACAGAUCAAGUAACAUGGAAAUAAAAAAGGAGACAAUGCUGGAUGAUACAGGGGCAGCCAACAAGAGGAGAAAACCCAAGCAUUGGCAAAUGCCUCAUUAUCCAAAGAACACUGGGCCUCAGAGUAUGUCAGCUGGGGUCAGACGGGAACAGGAGUCUGGCUCAACACACAUUUAUUGCACUCCUGUUUCAUGCCAAGAAAUGUACCAAAAUCUGGGACUGUGUAACACAGCAAAGGAAAAGACUCAUCUCCAGGAAGCCCCCUUGUCUAGGAAGAGAAAUUGAAUAUCAGCAUAAGGUGGUGAAAAGCUGUGAAGGAGAUGAGUGCCAGGAGUCCAUGGAGGAAGGAUUCUAGCCUGGACAGGUGAGGAAUGGCUUUCUGGAAGAAGCAGAUGCCCCAGCUGAACUUUAAAAUGCCCAUGUGAAAUGAACUGUCUGUAUCUUCAAUCAGCAAAUGGAGUAGGUGGCCACUGUUUAAUUCUGGAAUGGGGAAGUGUAAAGGUGUGGUGUGUGUGUUUACCCCUACUUAGGGAUUCAAAACAGACAGUAAAGAACAAAAGUCUAGCCCUUUGAGCAUUCUCCAUGGGACAUUUGAGGUCUAGCUGGCCCCAGAGAAAGAGAGACAGAAGCAAGGUCAUAUCCAUUUGAGAAAAUCAAAGUGUCUGCUCCAAUUGAGUCUGGUGUCCUUAUUCCUGGAAUAGCCAUCCCUACUGCUCUGGUGCUGAUUUACCUCCGGCAGUUCAGUGCUUCCUGGAAGGUGAUUGUGGUGAAUAGUCAUGAGAAUCUGGGAACUGGCUCCUGCUCUGUCUAUCUUGGAGAUGCAUCUUUUGUGAGAAGCCAGGGCAAGAAUAGGGAGGCUUAGGCAAUGGGAAGUUUCUGAGUAGAUAAAGCAGAUGGCAGAGCAAAGGGACAGAGCCUGGCGAGAGGCUACUCCCUGUAGCAACCUGCCUAAGAGUGAGAGGAAAGCAAGGCAUGGCUAUGAGCACGUGUAGUCUCAGCUACUUGGGAAGCUGAGGCUGGGGGAUCACUUGAGCCCAGGAGUUCAAGACCAGCCUAGGCAACAUAGUGAGACCAUGUCUCUUUAAAAAAAAAAAAAAAAAGAAAAAGGGAGAGAGAGAAAAAAAGGUGACAAUUCCCCCAACACACAUAAAGUACAUAAGAGUUAACAAGGACACAGUGGCAGAAAAUAGUCAGAACUGAGCAAGCAUCAGUGAGGAAAUGUUUUCCUGAGGAGACUUGAGAAGUCUCAAAAAUGAAAAGAAAGAGUAUUUGGUGUAGAAAGAAUGGCAUGAGAUGUGAAAGCUCAUUCAUCCAUUUAUUCCAGGUAUAUCUUUUUCUUCAGUACUUUGGGAGGCAAUAGGUGUAAUAGCAAGAACAUUCAGGUUAGUGGGUUAGUGUGAGUCUGCCAUAUGUAUGAGGGUUGAAUACACAUUAGGUGUGGUGACUGUCAUAUGGGAGGCACUGCAAGGUGAAGGAGACAUGUCCUCACAUUUGGUCUUUGGGAAGCGAAGCAGGCAGAAACCCAAGUGCAAAGUGGCCAUUUGUUUUCCUAAUGCUAGAUAAGUACCUGAUGUGUUGGAAGGGUGGAGUAGAACUAGAAACUCCUGGAAGUUCUUUUAAGAACGAAUGCAGGACCUCAUCAGCCCGAGUCUUUAAAUAAGUCACACAUUUUUGGUCACCACAUUCUGGAAGGGGGACAAAAAGAUCUGUCACAGACAAAAUUUGGAGAUAUUUAAGGCUUUGUUGACUUUGGCAAAUGCUUGAUUAUAGUUCUGUGGUCUGUUUGUUUUCUAGAGUCUCCAUGAAUUGCAAGGGAAAACAAGUGGUACACUGGUAUUUCUAUUUGAUAACCUGUUCUCUUUGGAAUUCCGGUUAGAAAUCAAAGGCUUACUUGAGUUUUAAUGCUUUCGGGACUUCAAAUGCUUUUCUAUCUUCCUAAUAAUAUAUUAACAUUUUCUGAAGACAACAUAUAUGUGGAAAACAACAUUAUUUACUCAAAUAAUUUUUUUUGAAAAAUGGACCAAAAAAAAAGAAAAACCAACAAAAA
ensembl:lncRNA LINC01206 long intergenic non-protein coding RNA 1206